rnacentral:misc_RNA from 1 species
AUCUAUAUGAAUUUGGUUCAUCAGGUAUAUGGAAUGCCUCUUCUCUAGGCAUGAAGCUGAUUAGAGGCCAUUUAAUGUAACAGCUUCAUAUGGCUCAUUAUUUUAAUGUUAAGACUUUCGAAUUAAGAAAAUUUUAGGAUUGAUUUUAUUUUUGCUGUUCUUUUUAUUUCCCUUUAUCUGCACAAUGUUAUUUGUGCAAAAUGGGAGAAUCUUCUAUUCUUGCCUAGAAAGAAAGAACAGAGAGAAGAUAUCUGGGGGAAGAAAAACUUAAGGAAAAUUUUGGUAUGAUACUAUUCCUUUUCUUUAUGGUUCUCUUUUUGUUGAUACUUUCAAGCAUCAUGACAGAGGGGAACUGAGGAUGUAAUG